ensembl:snoRNA
AUUCAUGUAACUUUGGGGCUUGGCAGCUCUGGCAGCCUCUCCUCUUAGACAUGGACCAGCAACUUCUUAUUUAUUUGAAAAUCUGCUAAAUGGUAGUUUCAACAAAAUGAUUCUGAUUUGCACAAGUAACAUUU